UAUAUAUAUAUAUAUUUUCUUCAAUAUAUCCCUUAAUGAAAUUGAAUAAGCAUUUCCUUCCAAAGAGAUAACUCCAUAUGACCCUGGUUUUCCUAUAAAUUAAGAACUCCAUCAGAAAAGCAUUCUCAUCCUUGUCAUCCUCCACAUGCUUUCAUAAUCCUUCUCUUCUCUUCAAAACUUGAACACUUCCCAAUUUGCCUUACCUUUACUUUCUACUCACUUGA
rnacentral:misc_RNA from 1 species